CCGCUGUCGCCGCCACCGCCUCCCGUUCUCCCUCUGCCGGCGCUCCUCCUGCUCUCCUCCGCCGCCACACGCUCCCGCAGGAUCCACGCCGCCCCUCUCCCUAACCCUUCCUCUCUCUCUCUCUACCCCGGCGGUGCCUCCUCUCUUUUCUCUCUCCCGGCGCCUUUUUCCCGGCGAUGUCUCUCCUCACCCUUCACCCCUCCUCGCGCCACGGGCCGGCGUGGAUCCAGAGGACUAGCUCGCAGCGCGGCCGGCAGCGGCAUCGCGCGGGAGACAGAGGCGCGGUCGGCCGCGCCACGCUCGCCUCCUAACCUACGCCGCGCGGCCUCCCCUCCGCCCUCCACCGUCAGCAAAGGACAAGAACCGAGCCGAGCUGAGCCGGUGGGCUCGCUGCUCCCGGCCGGCCGUACCUCCGUCGCCUCUCCCCGACGGCGCUCCUCUGCUCUCUGGUCUCCACCGCCGCCUGCUCCCGCGGGAUCCAGAUCUGGCGCGGGGCGCCGCUCGGAGUGAGGGGCCACGGGCAGCAUCCUGGGCACACGGCUGCGGUUCCCUACUUGUCCCGCUCCUCCGAUCACGACGAGCUCCGAGAUCGGCUCCGCGCCGCCGCUACCACCACAGCACCCGCCACUCCCUCCGGCUACACCACGCCGCCCCCGCACACCUCCUCGAAGGGAUGACGCCGGCUUCGAUGCGCGGGCGGCGCUUGAGCGCGAGCACCGCUGCAGGUCGGACGGUGCGCAGCCGCAUCUGGUGAACAUCCAGUUCCAGAAGAAGGUGCAGUUGGAGCUUGUUGCGCUCUACAUGGAUUUCAAGCUCGGCUAGAGCUACACGCUGAGAAAGAUCUCCAUCCGGGCUGGGGAUGGCUUCCACAACCUCGAGGAAAUUAAAAUUGUGGAGCUUGCAAAGUCUGUUGGUUGGGUCCAUAUAUCAUUAUCUGGGGCUGAUCCACGGUAUGCAUUUUAACUUGUAGAUGAAUGCUACUUUCUGAAAUUGUAUUUUGCCACUUCCUGAAAUGCCAUGGAAGAGUCUGUCAUAAGUUCUAGGAUGAAUUUUAUCUGGAAGUUAUUUUCAACGGUAUUCCUCUCACCCCCAGCAAACACUAGAUUUUUUGGUUUCUUGUUUUGUCUUGCUGGCUAAGAUGUAAUUUCAUUGUGCAUUCUGUCAGAUGUGAAUUGUGCCAUGGUCAAGCAGAGGGAUUUCAUUCUAGAUUCUGCAAGGGAGAAAGAUUUUAUCAGAAGAAGGCCAUGUAGUUACUUACUUAGACUCUUAGAAGGAAUUAGUACUUCAGAAGAAGGUUAACUCGAUUGGAGACAGAUAGCCACAAAUCGUCUGUGGAUCAGAUCAUCGGAUUUGAAUCCGACAAGGCUGCACGUGCUACCAGGUAACACAAUGGUCGUUGCUUGAUGUGGGCCCUUCAUUGGUAAUGACUCCUCAUUCCUCGCUCUUCUCAAUUAAGGUAGUGCUCCCAUUCCCCUUCCUAAGUAUAGCUUCCUGAUCUGGUUUUUUGCCUAGGAUUUCAUCUUUAGCUGUGAUUGUGAGCAUAUAAAUUGUAGCUGCUUGCUUUAUAAUGCAUGCUACCUGAGCUAAUAGCUUGUGUAUAUAUGAGGCUGAUGACAUCAUUAUUAGCUUAAUUGUGAAUAAGCUCUUUGUUACAACUGAUGGUUACUUAUUAGAUGCUGAGGAUUUCAGCGUGGUUGUGGUCUUGUGGAUGAGCUUGGAUGUAAGCUUCAUAGUUAAUAGUUAAUAGCCUGAGUAUUUUAGAAACUUUGGCAUAGUUAAUUUUCGUGGGUGUUAGUACUGCAUGGAAAUCUGUACUUUGACCAGCAACCAAAAGGUCUGGUUGGUGGUUCUCUUAUAUUUGGUUAUUUCUUUAAUCUGAAAUAGCUCACUGAGUAUUAAUUCUGUUUUGAUGUCCUCUUUAUUUAUGCAGUGACUUGUGCUUCCACAUGCAACGAUUUGUUGAACCAAAAGGUUAUUGUGCAGGCCAAUAUGUUUAUUGCACUAACACCGGCUAAGGUUAUCUUUAAGUGGCAAAUAUAAUAUAGUAGAAGGCGAUCAUUCCGUGUCUAUUUGGAUUUGGUCUUCGGGAAGCUCAUUACAUAUGCCUACAGUGGUGGAGCUGCUGCUUGAAUCGAUGGGAAAUGGAGGAGUUGCGGUCCUGUUGCUUGUGAUUCAUGUGCUCGAGAGGAGCUGCUGCUUGCUUGCAUUAGAGAAAAGAAGCAAUCCUUCGGGGAGGUAUGUAUAUGUUCUGAUUGGUGUCUUGAUAAGACACACUAUAAGCAUGAAGUCCCUUUGAUGCUAUUCUUCAGGUCCUGUUUUAACUUUUGUUCAUCAACAAAUCUGAUAUUCACCUGACUCUCCCAAUAGGCCAUGCUGGAGGUGAGAUAGCUGACUUCUUCAUUGUUCCGAGGAAUACUGAUGCCAUCACGACAUUAAGUGGAAAGGCAUAUCUAUCUGCGUUGGUGUUAGUGCUUUUGCUGGCCAUGUUGGAAGCUGAGGCUGACUUCCAUGCUGGUGAUGGCUAUGCUAGAAAAGAAUUAAGAUCAGAGAUAGACAAAGAAUUCAGAGAUACAUAUUCAGAUUUAAUUUGUUGAAUAGCAAAUUUAUAUUUGUAAAAUAGUAAUAUUUAGAGUGUUGGCUGAUGCACCAUGCCCAAUCCUGAGGAGCAUGUAGUUUGCCAUGUUUUGCUUCUUU